CCUGCGAAUCCCAAUACCCCCACCCCCCCGGAUCUCCUGCCGGUGCCGCUCCCCGUCCCGGCGCCCAACCCCUCCGUGCCGUUGCUCUCCUCCCGGCGCCGCUCCCCUCCACCGCCCAGCUCCUGUCCUGGCGCCGCACACUCCCCGCUCCGUUGCUCUCCUCCCGGCGGCGUUCGCCGCCUCCGACGGCGCUCCCCCCACCACGGCCACAUUUUUUUUUGGCUAGUCCGCAGUCCCUCCCAGCGCCGCACCAACCUCCCGCGCCGUCGGUCUCCUCCCGGCGCCGCUCGCCUCCCCCGCCGGGGAUGGGGGAGCGCACUUCCUCGGUGACAACGGCGCCGCCGAGGUCGCGCGGCCUACGACAAGGAGGUCGACCGCUGUGUCGUGGGCAAGAUGCAGCACAAGCGAGCAAGUGCGAGCAUUACCGGCGGAGGUGUAAGAUCGUGGCGCCAUGCUGCAAUUAGGUGUUCCCCUGCCGCCACUGCCAUAACGAGGCCACGGUGAGGAAACUUAUCAGCACAGGCGCCUUGGUUGUUCAAAUCGAGUAGCUGGUGCACUCCUGUCAUCUGCUUAUACGUGAGCCCAGUGGAACAUAAAGUUUCAGAUUAACGACCAAUCCGCAAGCAUCAGGUUAGCCACUUGCUGCAUUUGAUCAUAAAGUUUCAGAUAUUUAUGUGAUGCAUGAGUAGCUAUGAGAUUCAGAAUGUUCAUAUGAUAGGUAGCACUAUCCUUCUUGACAGUCUAAGGAAUUAUCUUUGUUUCUUUAAGCACUCCUUCUUGACAUGGAUGCAUAGAGUUUCUAACUUGCUAUCAGGUCUGCAGCUUCAGCUUCGUGAAUUAAACCUAGGAUCAGUCUCCUUAAUUCUAUUUGUGUUGAAUCGUUUUGAUGUGUGUUUAAAUUCUUCUUGCAGUAUAAGUCAGCUGCUUCAUGGUCAAAACUUUGCAAUUUCAGAAUACUACAACAGGCUGUAGCAACUAUGUACCUUGCCUGAAGCGCACCUGGUGAUUUACAUAGCACAAUAUUACAUAAUGGUAUGCAACGAUGUGCCCUGCUUGAAGUGCGCAUAUACAUCAGAGAUAUGUGAAACUGUAGAAUCUUGACAGGUAGUUGCCAUCUCCAAUCUAGUGUACAUUCAUGAAGAAUUUCAUUGCUCAGCGAUGCCAAUUUAAUUUAUCGGGUUUCAACUUUAAGCACAAAUAUUGGCAAACAUCUUGUUUGAGAACAUUUUCUGAAAUUUUGUAGUGACUGCAUGCCCCACCUUAACCAAGGCAUGCGAAUGCACUUCAUUUCUGUUUGGUUGUGUCAUGAUCUGAUCUGGAAGCAUCUGAUCUGAUAAAAUGGCCCUUCAAAUCAAACAGGGUGUAAAUGUGGCACAAGUCAUGAUUCGUUUGUUUCCAUUUUCAGAUGUCAUGAUAGGUCUUCACCUUCAUCUGCCUCAAACAUUGAGGUUUGCUAAUGAUCCUUGUUUGUGAAUAGUUUACAGAUUUCAUAACCCCCCUCUUCUGAAUUAAUAGUGGCUCUAUAAUAAAAUACUUCUUUUUACAAUCAGGAUUCAUGUUUAUGGAUUCUCUCCUACGUCUGAAUCACACAAAAUAAUUCUUCAGAGCAAUCGAUAAUUUGCAUGACUGUUUACUAUAGCAUCAUUCUUUCAGAAAUGUCAUCCCUGAUGCGGUCAGUUGGUUCCUCUGUAGGGUGGUAGUAACGAGAUGAUGCACAACAAUUUGCAGUGAUGCAGGAUCUAGCUCCCAGCAGAGGAAAAAGUGUGGCGACCCCUCGUUUCAGGUGGCAGUGACUAAGACUAGGUCACAACUCACAAAGGAAACUGCAAGAGUGAAUACACAAGCUUAGGUUCCAGUGAGCUCAGCAUGAUAUAUCCAAGACCACGGGGAUAAACACUGUAUCAUUUAAGUCUACACAUUCAGCAUGUUGUUUUCAUGAAAAUGACUUCAGUCUACAAAUGCCAAUGUGUACGUGGUCCGAAGCUAGCUGAAAAAACGGCUACAAGGGACAAGAUGGGUCUUAAGGCAGACAGAAAAAGUUAAAUUUAUUGUUCAAUUUGUAUUCCUUGACUCACCUAGAUGCUCAUUUGAUAACAAGUCUAUUUGCAAAAUACGUAUGACUUUACUGGAAAUAUUGUAGCAGCACUGCUCUAUGGGAAUAAAAUAAUUUGUUGAGUAAA